GACGAACGCUGGCGGCGUGCUUAACACAUGCAAGUCGAGCGGUAAGGCCCUUUCGGGGGUACACGAGCGGCGAACGGGUGAGUAACACGUGGGUGACCUGCCCUCAGCUCUGGGAUAAGCCUGGGAAACCGGGUCUAAUACUGGAUAUGACUCCAUGACGCAUGUUGUGGGGUGGAAAGCCUUGUGCGGCUGAGGAUGGGCCCGCGGCCUAUCAGCUUGUUGGUGGGGUGAGGCCUACCAAGGCGACGACGGUAGCCGGCCUGAGAGGGCGACCGGCCACACUGGGACUGAGACACGGCCCAGACUCCUACGGGAGGCAGCAGUGGGGAAUCUUGCGCAAUGGGCGAAAGCCUGACGCAGCGACGCCGCGUGAGGGAUGACGGCC
rnacentral:rRNA from 1 species